CUCCAAUGGUUUGUGUGCUCCUUCUCUGUGAUGAUCAUUGUCUUUUGCAAAGGUGGUCAUUCACAGGGGUCUGAUGUGGACAUCAGAUUAGCUGGAUCGAGUCGAUGCUCUGGCAGAGUGGAAAUCUUUUACAAUAACAUCUGGGGAACAGUCUGUGAUGUUGGCUGGGAUGAAAAUGAUGCUGAGGUCGUUUGCAGACAGUUAAACUGUGGGACUGCCCAAAAGGCUCCUCAAUCAGCUCACUUUGGUGCCGGAACUGGGCAUAUUUGGCUAAAGCAUGUGACCUGUUCAGGAAGGGAAAGUUCUCUAACUGAGUGUCAAUACAAUGUAUUUGGAGCAAACAGCUG